rnacentral:rRNA from 1 species
UACGUAGGUGGCGCGCGUUGUCCGGCUUUAUUGGGUUUAAAGGGUGCGUAGGCGGCUUUUUAAGUCAGUGGUGAAAGCCUGUAGCUCACCUAUAGAACUGCCAUUGAUACUGGUUAGCUUGAGUACGGUAGAGGUAAGCGGAAUGGAUGGUGUAGCGGUGAAAUGCAUAGAUAUCAUCCAGAACACCGAUAGCGAAGGCAGCUUACUGGGCCGUUACUGACGCUGAGGCACGAAAGCAUGGGGAGCAAACAGG